AUGAUAUAUGGGUAGCUGAUAGUGGAGCUUCGCAGUGUAUAACUAAAAGUAAAGAGAGGUUUGUUAACAUGAGAAAGAGUAAACAGCAUAUAUCAUUAGCAAAUGGAUGGAAAAUGAAAGCAUAUGGAGAAGCCAUGUUUGAAUAAU